rnacentral:lncRNA from 1 species
CUCGGUCCUGCUCGCUCUUGUCGCAGCGCUGUUUCUGCCUCUCUGUCAGUCAGCAGCCCCAUCCUGUAAUGCAUUUAGCAGCUGUGGGUUCUUUAUGACCCGAGAUCUGCGAGGACCUCACAGCAGCAAAUUCCGUGUCGCGCAGAAUAAUGUCACUGCAAUCAAUAAUUGCGUAAAGCUAUAUUCAACUGCAUCUCAAGUAGAAGCAUCUUCUAUGCUCCUGAUUGCUAGUGACCCAACACUUGAAUCUUCACCUCUUAGGCAAAGACUUUGGGGUCCAGGGCUCUGCACCAACCAGACACAUCAGCGUCUCUGGC